UACAGGGGGUGCUAGCGUUGUUCGGAAUUACUGGGCGUAAAGGGCGCGUAGGCGGUUUAGCAAGUCAGAUGUGAAAGCCCGGGGCUUAACUCCGGAAGUGCAUUUGAAACUGCUAGGCUAGAGUGCAGUAGAGGUUAUUGGAAUUCCCAGUGUAGAGGUGAAAUUCGUAGAUAUUGGGAGGAACACCAGUGGCGAAGGCGGCCCACUGGUCCGGUACUGACGCUGAGGUGCGAAAGCGUGGGGAGCAAACAGG
rnacentral:rRNA from 1 species